rnacentral:rRNA from 1 species
UGGGGAAUAUUGCACAAUGGGCGCAAGCCUGAUGCAGCCAUGCCGCGUGUGUGAAGAAGGCCUCGGGUUGUAAAGCACUUCAGCGAGGAGGAAGGUGGUGAACUUAAUACGUUCAUCAAUUGACGUUACUCGCAGAAGAAGCACCGGCUAACUCCGUGCCAGCAGCCGCGGUAAUACGGAGGGUGCAAGCGUUAAUCGGAAUUACUGGGCGUAAAGCGCACGCAGGCGGUUUGUUAAGUCAGAUGUGAAAUCCCCGGGCUCAACCUGGGAACUGCAUUUGAAACUGGCAAGCUAGAGUCUCGUAGAGGGGGUAGAAUUCCAGGUGUAGCGGUGAAAUGCGUAGAGAUCUGGAGGAAUACCGGUGGCGAAGGCGGCCCCCUGGACGAAGACUGACGCUCAGGUGCGAAAGGCGUGGGGAGCAAACAGAUUAGNUACCCUGGUAGUCACGCUGUAAACGAU